CGUGACGCCUGGGCUGACUGGGCACAGACCAGCUACACACAACCUCUGAGGGUCCAAAUGGGCGAGUGUGACCAUCCUGCAGGAAAACGGCCUGUAGCAGAAAGUGGGGAGCAGUCUGUAAGGUGGGAAAUGCUUCCUCAGACUCUUGAUACAAGUCAGCCCCCUUUGUGCAUUGCUAAGAUCCAGAGGGCGGAGCAACCUUCUUGUGAUCCAGCAAGACCCUGCAUAAAGUCUGGUCCCUCGUUACAUACUUGCGGAAUUGAAUGUGAGGACGCAGGUGCAGCCCCAGCACAGGUGCAGGCCUCAGGAAAUGAACGGCCUAAAGGGGAAUUGGACAGUAAUGCACCACACGCUGCAACAGGUAUUUGGCAAACAAAGAAGAUGGCUCAAAAACCCUGAUGCUCCCCGGUAACUGAGCAACU
rnacentral:lncRNA from 1 species